ensembl:lncRNA
UGCUGGCUUACCAUUGGCUGCUGGCUUACCAUUGGCUGCUGGCUUACCAUUGGCUGCUGGCUUACCAUUGGCUGCUGGCUUACCAUUGGCUGGUUGGUUGUGAACUGCAGACUACUACUGGACUCUCUUCCUCCUUUGGACUGAAGCAACUGUCUAUUGAUAUGUAAUGUGUUUCCUUGUUUGAAAUACUGUAUUACGUUGACAAAAAGAUGUCAUAGACAUUUUAAUAGCUACUGACAUGUUGGGUAGGCCCAGGGGAAGGCCAUAUUACGGCCAUGCUUACCUGAUAUCGGGUUAUUAUGGCCUUGAUUACUUGAUAUCGGGUUAUUACGGCCUUGGUUACUUGAUAUCGGGUUAUUACGGCCUUGGUUACUUGAUAUCGGGUUAUUACGGCCUUGGUUACUUGAUAUCGGGUUAUUACGGCCUUGGUUACUUGAUAUCGGGUUAUUACGGCCUUGGUUACUUGAUAUCGGGUUAUUACGGCCUUGGUUACUUGAUAUCGGGUUAUUACGGCCUUGGUUACUUGAUAUCGGGUUAUUAUGGCCUUGGUUACUUGAUAUGGGGUUAUUAUGGCCUUGGUUACUUGGUGGCAGGGUAGCCUAGUGGUUAGAGCGUUGGUCUAGUAACAGGAAGAUUGCAAGUUCAAACCCCCGAGCUGACAAGGUACAAAUCUGUCAUUCUGCCCCUGAACAGGCAGUUAAACCCACUGUUCCUAGACCGUCAUUGAAAAUAAGAAUUUGUUCUUAACUGACUUGCCUAGUUAAAUAAAGGUUAAAUAAAUAUUGGGUUAUUAUGGCCUUGGUUACUUGAAGUGCUAGGUGGUGGUGAUGACCACGGACUGAACUUGAUUAUUGGGUGUGUCCCAAAUUGUACCAUAUUUCCUACGUAGUGCACUAUAUUGGGAGUGGACAUUAUGUUCAUAUUUUAUAUAUUUUAUGCCUCUUGUGUUUCAGGAAUCAUUGAUUUGCCGAUAAAUCGUAUCUUACUUUCGUAUUGAGUUUUGUCAUCGUUGUUGAAGGGAACUAUGAUCAUGCUAGCCUGAGUUCUAGACUGAGUGCCAGUCUGUCUGUGCUGUCAUGCCAACUCCUUGUCACUCAUUUAGCUUGACAAUGACAGCAUUGGAGUUAUCAAGAGAACAAACUGAUCUGGGACCAGGCUCUGCUCACCAGCUGACAACUCCAAUUUUUUAAAUGUUUAAAAGCUUUGACAUGAUGAGACCGGUCAGAAAUAUGCAGCGUCCCAUAAAACAACCCAGACCAGAACCGUAGGCCUGAUCACCGACAACGACGAGACAGCCUAUAGGGAGGAGGUCAGAGACCUGGCCGUGAGGUGCCAGGACAACAACCUCUCCCUCAACGACGAGACAGCCUAUAGGGAGGAGGUCAGAGACCUGGCCGUGAGGUGCCAGGACAACAACCUCUCCCUCAACGAUGAGAAAGACUAUAGGGAGGAGGUCAGAGACCUGGCCGUGUGGUGCCAGAUGAGACAGCCUAUAGGGAGGAGGUCAGAGACCUGGCCGUGAGGUGCCAGGACAACAACCUCUCCCUCAACGAUGAGACAGCCUAUUGGGAGGAGGUCAGAGACCUGGCCGUGAGGUGCCAGGACAACAACCUCUCCCUCAACGACGAGACAGCCUAUAGGGAGGAGAUCAGAGACCUAGCCGGGAGGUGCCAGGACAACAACCUCUCCCUCAACGACGAGACAGCCUAUAGGGAGGAGGUCAGAGACCUGGCCGUGUGGUGCCAGGACAACAACCUCUCCAUCAACGUGAUCAAGACAAAGGGGAUGAUUGUGGACUACAGGGAAAAAAAGGACUAAGCACGCCCCCAUUCUCAUCGCCGGGGCUGCAGUGGAGCAGGUUGAGAGCUUCAAGUUCCUUGGUGUCCACAUCACCAACAAACUAACAUGGUCCAAGCACACCAAGAUAAGAGAAGAGGGCAAAACAAAACCUAUUCCCCCUCAGGAGACAAAAUAUUUGUCAUGGGUCCUCAGAUCCUCAAAAGGUUCUACAGCUGCACCAUCGAGAGCAUCCUGACUAGUUGCAUCAAUGCCUGUUAUGGUAACUGCUCGGCCUCCGACCGUAAGCCACUACAGAGGGUAAUGCGUAUGGCCCAGUACAUCACUGGGGACAAGCUUCCUGCCAUCCAGGACCUCUAUACCAGGCUGCGUCAGAGGAAGGCCCUAAAAAUUGUCAGACUCCAGCCACUCUAGUCUUUCUCUCUGCUACCGCAUGGCAAGCGGUACCAGAGUGCCAAGUCUAGGUCCAAGAGGCUCCUAAACAGCUUCUACCCCCAAGCCAUAAGUCUCCUGAACAACUAAUCAAAUGGCUCCCCAGACUAUUUGCAUUGCCCCCCUCUUUUACACCACUGUUACUCUCUGUUGUUAUCAUCUAUGCAUUGUCACUUUAAUAACUCUAUGUACAUAUUACCUCAACUAACCGGUGCCCCGGCACAUUGACUCUGUACCGGUGCCCCCUGUAUAUAGCCUCCACAUUGACUCUGUACCGGUACCCCCUGUAUAUAGCCUCCACAUUGACUCUGUACCGGUUCCCCCUGUAUAUAGCCUCCACAUUGACUCUGUACCGUAAUACCCUGUAUAUAGCCUCCACAUUGACUGUACCGUAACACCCUAUAUAUAGCCUCCACAUUGACUCUGUACUGGUACCCCUGUAUAUA